rnacentral:rRNA from 1 species
UCUGGUGGCAACAGCAAAGAGGUCACACCCGUAACCAUCUCGAACACGGAAGUUAAGCUCUUUAGCGUCGAUGGUACUGCAUGGGAGACUAUGUGGGAGAGUAGAACGCUGCCAGGU